rnacentral:rRNA from 1 species
AUUGAACGCUGGCGGCAGGCCUAACACAUGCAAGUCGAGCGAACGGCGGACGGGUGAGUAAUGUAUGGGGACUGCCCGAUAGAGGGGGAUAACUACUGGAAACGGUGGCUAAUACCGCAUACUAUCGGAUAACCCAUAUGGGAUUAGCUAGUAGGUGGGGUCAAGGCUCACCUAGGCGACGAUCUCUAGGUGGACUGAGAGGAUGAUCGGCGAAACUGGGACUGAGACACGGCCCAGACUCCUACGGAGGCAGCAGUGGGGAAUCUUGCACAAUGGGCGCAAGGCUGAUUCAGCCAUGCCGCGUGUAUGAAGAAGGCCUUAGGGUUGUAAAGUACUUUCAGCGGGGAGGCGUUACCCGCGGAAGAAGCCCCGGCUAACUCCGUGCCAGCAGCCGCGGUAAUAC